CAUAGACUCUGACUUAGAGGAGGAGGAGAGGGCACUUGGGUUCCCUUGGGCCUAGCGACAGAUAGAACCUCGGUCCCCUCCACCGCCGCCACCACCUCGCCCUCGUCGGAUCCCGUUCAGGUAGCCUCCCCAGCUGGGUACCACGGACUCUACUGGCCCCAGGAGAAACGGAGGGAACCUUAUUCCCUUCUCCUUUGGCUGAAACGUUUCAAACAUUUGAACAGCUGUCUCGCUUCUCGAGGCUCUCUGUUCUGAAGUUUGGCAGUAAGUGACGAUUUGUGGGCUCUCAGCAGCAAACUGCAAUUACGCGGCAAACAGGAUUUACUUAGCCCAGAAUCUAGUCGGCGAAAGGCAGGUCCCUGCACAGCUACCGGCUCCAGCCCUUCCGCCCCGGCGACAUCCCGCAGCGAGGACUGCGGGAACUUUCCGGCCUCCCACCUGGGCCGCCGCGGUGCCUCCUUCCGGCCCCGGGAGGUCGCGCUGGUGCCGCCGUCAGCCCGGAAAGGGGACACAGUGGCGGGUCCCCAGUCCCGAGUGAUCGCGGGAAAAUCCGCUGCCGCGGCUGGAAAUCGAUAGUAAGCGGUUGGGCCGGCACAGGCGGCGGACGUCGGGGCCGCCGCCAGUAGGGCCUGCGUGUCUCAUCAUUUAGCUAAUCGACUCGAAAAGUUUCUGUAAGGGCCAGACCCGGCAUCAGAUGGUAACACUGAUUGAACAAGAGAUUAGCACAAUAGAUCUCUAACCGAGGGGAAGCGUUGCUUUUCACGCUACGUGCCGUAAUUAAUGUUGCAGCCGGGUAGAGUGGGCAGCCAGCUCGCGCCGCUCCCGUCGGUUUCACGGAAGGCUGUCUAGAUGGCAUUGUAAACGGCUCGCACCUGCAGGGCCACAGAGAGGUGCAGCUGCGGAAAUCAACUCAGAUGCAUUUUAGGGUCAGGCCAAGGACUGAGAGCCAAGGUGAGAGACACAGACUGAGGGAAUCAGAAGCACCGCUGUCCACCAGGAAUUAAAUCGGUUACCCAGCGUCUUCUGUAAAUAUUUCACCAACGAUUUGCUCUCAGACCGCUCCCCUGUGCUCCUUGCUCUGGUGAGGCCGAAAUACUCCUCCCAGGACUUAGCGGACAGACAGGGCUUGGGUUCAAGGACCCCGCCACACCUGGCCCGCGCUUGCAGCUCGCUGCGAGGCGGCCUAAAACUUCGGGAGGAGAGAGGUGGUGCCUCGCGGGCUCAGCGGGCCAGGAGCACUACUAUUCCAGGUGCGAGAUCCAAGCGCACGCAGUGACAAUGACACGCACUCGUGGUGGGGUUGCCAUCCUCCCACCCCCAACCCCAGUUAAAUCCCCACAGCUUUCCUACCAUCACUGAUUUUCCUUGCCAUGGAAACUGGUGUGCACUAGCCGCAUCCUCGCCUCCUCCACCCGCUCUGCUCCUGGUUUCCGCGGAAGUUAAAUCUUGAAGGAUUUACCUGAGCCUUAAGAGAGAAGAAUCCACGUGAGUUAGCAGCACCUGAGAGCCUAGCCCACCCGCAUGCCCGAGGCCGCCCCCCCCCCCACUCCCGAGAGGCUCGGCCCCGCCGCCCCGGAAAGUCACACCGCCAGCUCCCGACGUGGCUCUGCGGUCCCAGCCCCAGCGCGGCGUCCAAACUGGAAGCCCGGAAUCCUCUACUGCGCUCCGCUCGACUUACCCAGGCCGCUGCCAGUCCCGGCUCCGUCCCCAGCGCCUCAUUUCCGACUUUUUCACAUGCUAAGUCGUUUAACAACUCCCGGCUGCUAGUUACGGCCUCUUUAUUUA